GCUGCUAGGCCUCUGAUUGGUCAUCGUCAAGUCUGCCCCCUCCGGUAGAAGGGAACUCUGAGAUCGAAAAAUUUUAAUGGGUUUCAAUGGAGAGAAAGUAAUUAUUUUCUGGUCCCAGCCUUUAUAUGCCCCGGAUUACACAUAUGUUGUUUGUGGAUUUAAAUGAUAAUUUUUCAUGUCAAGAGUUUGACCGUUUAUUGUGCAAUUGUUCAGUUAAGGGCUGUAGAGAAAACACAAUCAGGAAGACUACACGUCUCGUAUGUGACGUCAAGCUCCCUGCGACUGACGUGGACAAGAGCGACAAUCUCCCCAUCGGCAUAACUGAAACUCUACAUGCCCUGAUUUAUAAUGGUUUUCACCUCUUUCGAUGCUGUUGUCCUCCCCUUGGAAAAGUGCGGUGAAGUAGAAAGAAAAUAAUUACUUUCUCUCCAUUGAAACCCAUUCAUAUUUUACGAUCUCAGAGGUCCCAUGGGCUAUACUGGAAGGGGCGGACUUCUCUAUAGGUGAUUGAAAACAUGAAUUAUUCCAUAACAUGAAGUACUGGUUAAUAAUAAUAUAACAUACUGGUUAUCAUUAACAUGAAGUGCUGUUUAUCAUUAACAUGGCCUAUUGGUUAUCAAUAACAUGACCUAUAGGUUAUCAAUAACAUGACGUACUGGUUAUCAAUAACAUGGCAUACUGGUUAUCAAUAACAUGACGUACUGGUUAUCAAUAACAUGGCAUACUGGUUAUCAAUAACAUGACGUACUGGUUAUCAAUAACAUGACAUACUGGUUAUCAAUAACAUGACGUACUGGUUAUCAAUAACAUGACAUACUGGUUAUCAAUAACGUGACGUAUUGGUUAUCAAUAACGUGACGUACUGGUUAUCAUUAACAUGCCGUACUGCUUAUCAAUAACGUGAAGCAUUGGUUAUCAAUAACGUCAGUUAUAUAAGAAGAUGUUUCUGAUCACCUCCUGCUCACCUGAUCAGUAAACAGACCAGUGGUGUUCAGCUCAUUGGGUUAGUAGGCCAGCCAUGUCACAGUGCUCUGAACCACAUGAUGAACAGCAGAUAAACAUCUGAAGGGCUGGUCGAACCGCCUCAACCCAGACACACACACACGCACGCACACAUGCACAGACACGCACACAGACACACGCACACAGACACACGCACACAGACACACGCACACAGACACACGCACACACUCGCAUAACCAUUCACAGUUCUGUCGUCGGCCAUCAGAUGGCAGUGUGUUACAGCUGUGGAAGUGGAGAGUUCUGCCCUCGAGAACAGUGUGUGUGUGAGUGUGUGUUUUGAGACGUGUCUCCGCCCACUGGCGAGAUCACCUUCAGCCAAUCAGACAUCAUUCUCCCCCAAAGCUCCAGCCCCCCAACCUGUGAACACACACACACACACACACACACACACACACACACACACACACACACACACACACACACACACACACACACACACACACACACACACACACACACACACACACACACACACACACACACACACACACACACACACACACACCCCUCUCCUGGUAUCAGUGUGUAGAUAUCACAGCCUGAGGAUUCCUUCCCUGAUGGGACCGUUUGACCAGAACCACAUGUCUGUUUGUAUGCCACUGUAUACCUGUGUGUGUCUGUGUGUGUCUGUGUGUGUGUCUGGUGCCUGUAUACCUGUGUGUCUGGUGUCUGUAUACCUGUGUGUGUGUGUGUGUGUGUGUCUGUAUACCUGUGUGUGUGUGUGUCUGUAUACCUGUGUGUGUGUGUGUGUGUCUGGUGCCUGUAUACCUGUGUGUGUGUGUGUGUGUGUGUGUGUGUGUGUGUGUGUGUGUGUGUGUGUGUGUGUGUGUGUGUGUGUGUGUGUGUGUGUGUGUGUGUGUGUGUGUGUGUGUGUCUGUAUACCUGUGUGUGUGUGUCUGGUGCCUGUAUACCUGUGUGUGUGUGUGUGUGUGUGUGUCUGUAUACCUGUGUGUGUGUGUGUGUGUGUGUGUCUGUAUACCUGUGUGUGUGUGUGUGUGUGUCUGGUGCCUGUAUACCUGUGUGUGUGUGUGUGUGUCUGUCUGUAUACCUGUGUGUGUGUGUGUCUGUCUGUAUACCUGUGUGUGUGUGUGUGUGUGUGUCUCUCUAUGCGGCGUGCGGCCCCUCCGUCCUUCUCAGUGUCUAAUCACCUGUGAUAAUAGAGUUCUUAUCGAUUCAUUAGCUGCCAUCUGAUUAAGACGAGCGUGUAAUUGGUGUACAUCAGACACCCGGGCUCCCUACCCAGCAUGCCGCGGGGUGGGGGGGCCGACGCCCCCUAGAGCAGCUGGACCUUCGGCGUGGGGGCGCAGACCUCUCUAUUGUUUUAAUGAUUUCCAUCGGGGCUCAGACCGAUGUGACGGGCGCUUCAGGCUUCAGCGGGCGGCCGACGACAAAUGGCUUUCUGCCGCCGGCCGCGGCAGCGCACCACUCUGAUUGGCUGGUGGAGCGCCGGCUUGGACUGCGGAGUUAGCGGGGGUGAUUGGGUGUCCUCGUGCGUGAUGAGCGGCGGCGCUCGCAGCUGGGCCGGCCGCUCUCCGCCAAACCGACAUCUGGGGCCGCCGGGGAGAGGAGGUCCUCCGUACUCUCAGCCCGGCCUGAGAUCAGGACCGCGUGGCGCCACCCAGGGGCGCCGCGCGGGCGAGGGUUCAACGCCCGCCGUCGUCCAGACUACCUGUAGCCACCCAGGGGCUCCCUAGUUAGUGUGGCAGGAGUUGGUCUAUCGGUACUAGGAGUUAGUGUGGUAGUAGUUAGUUAGUGUAGCAGUUGUUAGUCUAUCGGUACUAGUAGUUAGUGUGGUAGUAGUACUAGUAGUUAGUUAGUGUAGCAGGAGUUGGUCUAUCGGUACUAGUAGUUAGUGUGGUAGUAGUACUAGUAGUUAGUUAGUGCGGCAGGGGUUGGUCUAUCGGUACUAGUAGUUAGUGUGGUAGUAGUUAGUUAGUGUAGCAGGAGUUGGUCUAUCGGUACUAGUAGUUAGUGUGGUAGUAGUAUUAGUAGUUAGUUAGUGUAGCAGUAGUUAGUCUAUCGGUACUAGUAGUUAGUGUGGUAGUAGUUAGUUAGUGUAGCAGGAGUUGGUCUAUCGGUACUAGUAGUUAGUGUGGUAGUAGUACUAGUAGUUAGUUAGUGUAGCAGGGGUUGGUCUAUCGGUACUAGUAGUUAGUGUGGUAGGAGUACUAGUAGUUAGUUAGUGUAGCAGGAGUUGGUCUAUCGUACUAGUAGUUAGUGUGGUAGGAGUACUAGUAGUUAGUGUGGUAGUAGUAGUAGUCUAUCAGUAGUAGUUAGUUAGUGUCGUUAGUGUCUAUUGCCCCUUUUCCACCGUCAACUCGCCUCGACUUGGCCUGCCUUUUUUGGUUUCGAUCCCCAAAAUGAGGCACCUGGUACCUGGUACUUUUUUAGUCUCACCUCCGUCCUGGCCGCUGAUUGGCCAGAGUGACGCCACUGGACGAAUAAUGAUGAGCGCGACGUCUGGCACCUUUAAAUACUAGCAUCAGCGAUCAGACACAGCAGUGAUUGAUCAUUGAACACGGCAAGAUCAGCGCGCAAGUGCACGCCGUUGACCGCGACCGAGCUGGAGACGCUCCUGCGUGUAGGCCUGUCUGUUUAUGUGUCGCCUUGUCGCGUUUGUGUCGCGGUUUAUUGACGACCCGCCCACGUCGAAGAGGUACUUUCUAAAUGGAAACACGACGUGCCUGGAAACAAACCAAGUCGUGCCACGCUAAGUCGUGGCGAGUUGAGCUGGGACUGUUUGUGGAAAAGAGGCAUAUCAGAAGUAGUUAGUGUAAGUACUAGUAGUUAGUGUAGCAUUAGUAGUUAGUCCAUCAGUACUUAGUAAUUAGUUUAGUAAUACGAGUACUGUAUUGGUAGCACUCAGUGUGAAGCACUAAUUGUAUUGCGUUAAGUGUGUAGUACUAAGUGUUAAGUGUGUGUUCCUGCAGGCACUCUGAGGUGAGCAGCACUAAGUGUUAAGGGUUAAGUGUUAAGUGUGUGUUCCUGCAGGCACUCUGAAGUGAGCAGCACUAAGUGUUAAGGGUUAAGUGUUAAGUGUGUGUUCCUGCAGGCACUCUGAGGUGAGCAGCACUAAGUGUUAAGUGUUAAGUGUGUGUUCCUGCAGGCACUCUGAGGUGAGCAGCACUAAGUGUUAAGUGUUAAGUGUGUGUUCCUGCAGGCACUCU